GACGAACGCUGGCGGCGUGCUUAACACAUGCAAGUCGAACGGAAAGGCCCUGCUUUUGUGGGGUGCUCGAGUGGCGAACGGGUGAGUAACACGUGAGUAACCUGCCCUUGACUUUGGGAUAACUUCAGGAAACUGGGGCUAAUACCGGAUAGGAGCUCCUGCUGCAUGGUGGGGGUUGGAAAGUUUCGGCGGUUGGGGAUGGACACGCGGCUUAUCAGCUUGUUGGUGGGGUAGUGGCUUACCAAGGCUUUGACGGGUAGCCGGCCUGAGAGGGUGACCGGCCACAUUGGGACUGGGAUACGGCCCAGACUCCUACGGGAGGCAGCAGUGGGGAAUAUUGCACAAUGGGCGGAAGCCUGAUGCAGCAACGCCGCGUGCGGGAUGACGGCCUUCGGGUUGUAAACCGCUUUCGCCUGUGACGAAGCGUGAGUGACGGUAAUGUGUAAAGAAGCACCGGCUAACUACGUG
rnacentral:rRNA from 1 species